rnacentral:rRNA from 1 species
AACGAACGCUGGCGGCAUGCCUAACACAUGCGAGUCGAACGAAGGCUUCGGCCUUAGUGGCGCACGGGUGCGUAACGCGUGGGAAUCUGCCCUUGGGUGCGGAAUAACAGUUAGAAAUGACUGCUAAUACCGCAUAAUGACUCCGGUCCAAAGAUUUAUCGCCCAGGGAUGAGCCCACGUCGGAUUAGCUAGUUGGUGAGGUAAAGGCUCACCAAGGCGACGAUCCGUAGCUGGUCUGAGAGGAUGAUCAGCCACACUGGGACUGAGACACGGCCCAGACUUCUACGGGAGGCAGCAGUGGGGAAUAUUGGACAAUGGGCGAAAGCCUGAUCCAGCAAUGCCGCGUGAGUGAUGAAGGCCUUAGGGUUGUAAAGCUCUUUUACCCGGGAUGAUAAUGACAGUACCGGGAGAAUAAGCCCCGGCUAACUCCGUGCCAGCCGCCGCCGUAAUAC